rnacentral:rRNA from 1 species
GGCGCACGGGUGAUUGUACACGUGGGAACCUGCCCUGUGGUUCGGAAUAACUCCGGGAAACUGGAGCUAACACCGAAUGUCCCCUGCGGGGGAAAGGUCACGCCAUGGGAGGGGCCCGCGUCUGAUUAGGUAGUUGGUGGGGUAACGGCCUACCAAGCCGACGAUCGGUAGCUGGUCUGAGAGGAUGAUCAGCCACACUGGGACUGAGACACGGCCCAGACUCCUACGGGAGGCAGCAGUGGGGAAUAUUGGACAAUGGGCGCAAGCCUGAUCCAGCAAUGCCGCGUGAGUGAUGAAGGCCUUCGGGUUGUAAAGCUCUUUCGUCCGCGACGAUAAUGACGGUAGCGGAAGAAGAAGCCCCGGCUAACUUCGUGCCAGCCGCCGCGG